GUAUGCGCAACAAGGAAUCUCUAAUCCUCGAUAAGAGAGGAAGAAUACUCUAAGAUAUGAUUCGGGAAUCUUCAGCCGAAGUAUCGAGCGUAAUAAAGGAAAGCGUUCCUAUACGACUCAAUUGAAUCAUAUAAGAAGGAAUAAUCACAUUAGGGGUUUGACAUAAUAAAUCCAUACCCUAAUGAUGUGAUUGAGACUAUUGUAUUAGAGAAGGAUCGAAUUACAUUGUAAUUUCAACUGAAUAGGUUCUCCGAAUAAACUUCUACAUUAGCUUGGGUAGCUAUGACAUAUGGUUAGA
rnacentral:lncRNA from 1 species